rnacentral:rRNA from 1 species
GUGGGGAAUCUUCCGCAAUGGACGAAAGUCUGACGGAGCAACGCCGCGUGAGUGAAGAAGGUUUUCGGAUCGUAAAGCUCUUUCGUUAGGGACGAACGUGCUCUUUGUGAAUAAUGAGGAGUAAUGACGGUACCUAAAUAAGAAGCCACGGCUAACUACGUGCCAGCAGCCGCGGUAAUACGUAGGUGGCAAGCGUUGUCCGGAAUUAUUGGGCGUAAAGCGCGCGCAGGCGGGAUAUCAAGUCUGUCUUAAAAGUGCGAGGCUCAACCUCGUGGGGGGACAGAAACUGGUAUUCUUGAGUGUCGGAGAGGAAAGUGGAAUUCCAAGUGGAGCAGUGAAAUGCGUAGAGAUUUGGAAGAACACCAGUGGCGAAGGCGACUUUCUGGACGAUGUCUGACGCUGAGGCGCGAAAGCUAGGGGAGCGAACGGGAUUAGAUACCCUAGUAGUCC